rnacentral:lncRNA from 1 species
GGAGAUGCUGGCUGCCUGGACUCAGGUCGCAGUAGCAAUGGAAGGAGAUAGAGGCUCAGAGAGGUGACUUGAGUUGUCCAAGGUCAUACUGCAAGCAAAUGGCAGAGCUGGGCUUUGAAUCAGGCACUUCGGCUCUGAAGGUUUCUCUUCCACUACCACCUGGCUUGGUAUAGAGGCCUGGCUUAGAAGAAGCUGACUCAUGUGAGUCAGACAGCACUCUGAACUGGGCCCCCACUUUGUGCAGAACUCUAGCUGAGGCUUCUCAGGGGCAAGAAGAACACAACUCCCUCGGCCCCAGCCCCAGGGAACCUGCUGCCGUGGCUCAGGAAACAGACACAAGGCCAGCCUCUCUCCAUGUGGCCACUCCAGCAGAGAAGCUUGACUUCUUACCUGGAAUCUCAGGGCUCCGAAGGAGCUGCAAAGCCUUAACAAUGAGGCUGGAAAGAAAGAAUACCAGUCCCUGUCUCAUGGGGCAGUUCAGAGGAUGCAGAGACAGAACGUAUGCGCAGCACACAUCCCAGGGCCUCGCUACUGUUACCAUCAGCUCGCUCUGCUGCUGCCGUGUCUAAAACACCAGUUUCAGCCUUCCUACCUAAACAAGUGAUGAAGCCC